rfam:Ipomoea nil DNA, scaffold: scaffold2927, cultivar: Tokyo-kokei standard.
GGAUGCGAUCAUACCAGCACUAAUGCACCGGAUCCCAUCAGAACUCCGAAGUUAAGCGUGCUUGGCGAGAGUAGUACUAGGAUGGGUGACCCCCUGGGAAGUCCUCGUGUUGCAUCCC